rnacentral:rRNA from 1 species
GUCGAGCGAACUGAUUAGAAGCUUGCUUCUAUGACGUUAGCGGCGGACGGGUGAGUAACACGUGGGCAACCUGCCUGUAAGACUGGGAUAACUUCGGGAAACCGAAGCUAAUACCGGAUAGGAUCUUCUCCUUCAUGGGAGAUGAUUGAAAGAUGGUUUCGGCUAUCACUUACAGAUGGGCCCGCGGUGCAUUAGCUAGUUGGUGAGGUAACGGCUCACCAAGGCAACGAUGCAUAGCCGACCUGAGAGGGUGAUCGGCCACACUGGGACUGAGACACGGCCCAGACUAAUACGGGAGGCAGCAGUAGGGAAUCUUCCGCAAUGGACGAAAGUCUGACGGAGCAACGCCGCGUGAGUGAUGAAGGCUUUCGGGUCGUAAAACUCUGUUGUUAGGGAAGAACAAGUACGAGAGUAACUGCUUGUACCUUGACGGUACCUAACCAGAAAGCCACGGCUAACUACGUGCCAGCAGCCGCGGUAAUACGUAGGUGGCAAGCGUUAUCCGGAAUUAUUGGGCGUAAAGCGCGCGCAGGCGGUUUCUUAAGUCUGAUGUGAAAGCCCACGGCUCAACCGUGGAGGGUCAUUGGAAACUGGGGAACUUGAGUGCAGAAGAGAAAAGCGGAAUUCCACGUGUAGCGGUGAAAUGCGUAGAGAUGUGGAGGAACACCAGUGGCGAAGGCGGCUUUUUGGUCUGUAACUGACGCUGAGGCGCGAA